rnacentral:piRNA from 1 species
UAUUGUCAGGAAAAGUAUGUGUUUGCAGGUC